rnacentral:lncRNA from 1 species
CCGGGCCAGAGCGCCUGCCAGAGGAGGCACAGGGCGAACGCCGGCCUCAUUCUCUGAGGCCCCGCACGCAGAGCUGCUCCCAACUUGGAUCUGUCCCGCUCGAGGACGCGGAGCUGUGUCUGGAGCGCGGUCACCGCCCUCUACAGCUGGCUUCCCCAACACGGUUCCCCCCUCCCUUCCCCUCCGCCCUCGCUCCCGACGGACCCCCCAACUGCCAAGAAUCCCCCCGCGGGCCCAGCGGCCAACGGUUUCCCUUAGGCCGCGACAGGAAAUGUGUGCGGAGCGCUGCCAGGCCCCGUGCAGCCCUGAGUUAUUCUGGGGUCAGGAACACAGCUGGCGCCGGGUACAGGGGACGCAGUCGACUAGAAGGUCAAACACCCUGCUUAGAGCAAGAGGAGAAACUCGCCACUGGGAUGAAGUGUGUGGCUUUUCUCCUUUCAGGGAGUUUCAUCAGGACCGCAGAACCCAUAACACUAGCUCUGUCACUGUCUUCCCCAAACAAGGCUGAAGCUGUGCUGCAUACUCUUACCUAGCCUAGGAUGUCAUGAAACAUCACUCUGCUGCAUUCUGUUGGAUACUGAUGAGUCAAAACUUG